AUUUUAUAACACUUCCAAAUAGUAAAAAACAUAAUAGUUUCUCCACUACCCAAUCAAGUGCCGAUCAAGCGAUGAAUGAAGCAUGCACAGAUAAACUUUUACCUGUGACAUGCCUGGGGCUAAUUUCCACUACCGGACACGGUUUUAUGGCUCUUUAGCCUGUGUAUUGCUGUCAAAUCAAGCCAGUUGCGCUGGUGUAUAAAUUUGUUAAUGGGGGGGGGGGGGGGGGGGCAUAGUAAUAAAAAUCGUAUCUAGCCAGCCAGCUGGGGAGGCCCCUGUCCCCUCCCCCCACCUGGACACGUGCCUGACUUAGAUAAGUCUGCUAUUCUAAAAUUGAGAUAUUGAUGAAGUUAUUGUUGUUUUUUUUUUCCUGUAACAAUAUAUUUAUAGUUCAAGUAUACUAUGGUAGUAGUAUUUGUCAGCAGUACUUAUUCAAGUCACGCAAAUAUGAUAUUUCUGUUUAGGCACGAUAUAAAAAACUUAAUCCUUACCAUGCUAAACUACAAUAAUGAACUUGUCUAUCUUUCAAUUUGGACAGUACAAUUAAUUAUGAAAAGGGGUGCACACCCAAAAAAAUACUGGCUGAAUGGCAGAGAGUACAGAUCAUGAUCAGUCUGCACGGAUGUGCAGGCUGAUCAUGAUCUACACUGAUUGCAAAGGAAGAACCAAUAGUGUCUAGCAUGGUCAUCUAAACGCAAAAACCGGUCAUGCGGAUAGACAUCAAAAUGUUGAAUUGAACUGGUAUUUGAGACUUAAAUCUUCAGAAUAUUAUUUCAUAAAACUGGUCGAUAAAUCGAAGUGGAAGUCUUUAGGAAUGGCGAGUAAACAG